rnacentral:rRNA from 1 species
GCUCAGAAACUCAAAGGAAUUGACGGGGCCGCACAAGCGGUGGAGCAUGUGGUUUAAUUCGAUGAUACGCGAGGAACCUUACCUGGGCUCGAACGUAAGAUGACUGUAGGUGAAAGCUUACAUCUCUUCGGAGCAUUUUACGAGGUGCUGCAUGGUUGUCGUCAGCUCGUGCCGUGAGGUGUCGGGUUAAGUCCCAUAACGAGCGCAACCCCUACCUUUAGUUGCCAUCAGGUUAAGCUGGGGACUCUAAAGGAACUGCCUACGCAAGUAGUGAGGAAGGCGGGGAUGACGUCAAAUCAGCACGGCCCUUACGUCCAGGGCUACACACGUGCUACAAUGGCCGAUACAGAGGGCAGCUACCUGGUGACAGGAUGCAAAUCUCCAAAGUCGGUCUCAGUUCGGAUCGGAGUCUGCAACCCGACUCCGUGAAGUUGGAUUCGCUAGUAAUCGCGCAUCAGCCAUGGCGCGGUGAAUACGUUCCCGGGCCUU